rnacentral:rRNA from 1 species
AUGAAAAUCACAAAGUCUGGCAAUCUGGUUCUCUUCAACCAAAAGAACUCACCAGUCUGGCAGUCGUUCGAUCACCCAACUGAUGCUAUGCUUCCCCGGCAGCCAUUAAUGGAAGGGGUGAAGCUGACGCCCAGCAUUGACAACGCGACGCUGAUUAAAAUGAUUGGGUUCUGUGCGGACAAAACAAACAGGCUCUUGGUUUACGAGUACAUGUCUGGAGGGUCACUGGACAAGUGGAUCUAUUCCAACAGAUCUGGUAGCAAUGCCCCUCUUGAUUGGUGCGUAAGGCGUAGGAUCAUCACAGAUAUUGCCAGGGGCUUAUGCUACCUUCACGAAGGGUGCAAGCAGCGAAUUGCUCAUCUAGAUAUUAAACCACAGAACAUCCUCUUAGAUGAUAACUUCAAUGCUAAAGUUGCAGACUUUGGGCUAUCCAAGCUGAUAGAUAGGGAAGAGAGUCGUGUGGUGACACGAAUGAGAGGAACACCUGGAUACAUGGCACCCGAAUGGCUGACAUCGAAAAUCACCGAGAAGGUCGAUGUUUACAGUUUUGGCAUUGUGGUCAUGGAAAUCUUAAGUGGAAGAAAGAACAUCGACUACUCUCAGCCCGAUGAGGGUGCUCAGCUCAUUAUGGUACUACGAGAGAAGGCUAUGAAUUCUCAACUGGAAGAUAUGAUCGAUAGGAGCAGCCAAGAUAUGCACUUAUGCAACAAGGAGGAAGUGAUUGAGAUCAUGAGGCUUGCAAUGUGGUGUUUGCAGAGUGACAGCAACAGAAGGCCUUCCAUGUCAGUGGUGGUGAAGGUCAUGGAAGGAAAAAGAAAUGUGGAAUCAGACUUA